GUUGUUCUAUCAAUGAUACAACAUAGCUCGCCUUCUAGCUUUUGUUAAGAUGGUUGAUGCUGUUGUUGUAUCCUGAUACGAAAAUCAUAGAAAUGCUCACUACUUAGCUGUGCUAAAGAUAGUUGAUGCAGAUGAAAAUAUGUGUGCUCAGUCGAUCUGUAUUACGGAUUUUGAAAUGUUGUUCUAUCAAUGAUACAACAUAGCUCGCCUCUUAGCUUUUGUUAAGAUGGUUGAUGCUGUUGUUGUAUCCUGAUACGAAAAUCAUAGAAAUGCACACUACUUAGCUGUGCUAAAGAUAGUUGAUGCAGUCAAAUAUAUAUGUGCUCAGUCGAUCUGUAUUACGGAUUUUGAAAUGUUGCUCUCUUAAGGAUACAACAUAGCUCGCCUUCUACCUUUGUUAAGAUGGUUGAUGCUGUUGUUGUAUCCUGAUACGAAAAUCAUAGAAAUGCUCACUACUUAGCUGUGCUAAAGAUAGUUGAUGCAGAUAAAAAUGUGUGUGCUCAGUCGAUCUGUUUCACGGAUAGAAAAAUGAUCAAUGAUACAACAUAGCUCGCCUUCUAACUAAUGUUAAGAUGGUUGAUGCUGGUGUAUUCUCGUACGGAAUUAGGAGAACAGCUCAUUAAUUAGCUAUGCUAAC